AGAGACAAUUCCGUUUUAACUGCAAGUGAAAACGUUUGUAAUUCACGGUAAAACUAUUUUGUCUUAUUUUGUCUACUACGUCUAUUCCUGGCAGAGAUUUUAAUUAAUAGAUAACUAGUUAGGUAGAAAUAAGCCUAAGCCUAGAUAAGAAAGAAGCCAAAGAUGUGGCCCCGCGUGGUGAGGUGGGGCUUGGGUGUGGCGGCAGCAACGGUGUGCGCUUUUUCUGCAUACAAAGCAUUCCAAGAAAUUAAAAGACUCUCUUCAGACUUGCCCGAAUUUUACCUUAGACAAAACUUAGAGCGACGUCGCGAUACAAGACGUUUCGCCAAUUCACGCCAAGAAAGGGAAGAUACAUUCUUAGCCGAUGCAUCGACCGAUGAAGAAGAAGAUGCACAACGUGCAGGAACUUCCAAAAGAGUUACGUAUCAUCGAACGGCAAACAUAGAAGAUUCUCCCAACAUUCUAGAAGGUAUUUACCCACGUCCUGAAGUCGAUCGUUAUAGGCCAAGUAGAGCUGAACGGAGCCCAAUAUUAACCGCAAUACUAGAGCAACAGCGGUCCUCUACAGCCCAAGAAGAAAACAACGACCAAGCAGCUAGUUUAAGCACCGAAAUUGAAAGGCCUGACAGCAACGAAGAAAGCACUGAUAUGCCGAACACUGACAAUCGACUGAGAUCCGCAAAUAUUGAUGAAACGGAGGAGCACAGUUCUGAGAUUAGUGAUACGAAUCUCAGAAACAGCACACCGAAAAACUAAAGGAGCGGGGUGGGCAGGGAGCAAGGGUUUCCAUGCGGAGCCCUACCGUCCAAUGUAAGAAUGAAAGCUGCUCCCUGCCCACGUAGAGACGAACGGACGGAAAUGAAAAAGUCUAGAAGACUCGUAUUAACAAACUUUAAAAUUUGUAAACGGUUUUAAGCCCAGAUCCUCUUUAGAACGUAUAUUGCUUAAAGCAAUGAGCGUCAUAAGACGAGGACGUACAAAUCAACCCCAAUCGGAUCACAAUCUGUUCAUUUGUAAAGUCGAAAUUAUUUUGGAAUCAUCUUAAGCAGAUUAAAAUAAAGAAGUGCCUAUUAGUACACUCAAGGGACAGAAAACCAGAAAACCAGCGAGGACACCUUCAGCCCCAGAGAAAAGUUGCUGUACUUACUGAACGGAGGAACUGUUCCUCGAGGCCGUACGUCGAGGCAUAAGAAGUUUUAAUGGAAAUGGAUACAUAAUUCUGCAUACAUCUGAAAGAUGAAAAUCAAACCGCCGAUACAAUGCCAAGCUGUGGACACCUACGCGUCUAAGAAAUACGUCUGUUCAAGACAUCAAUGUAGGUCACUACCAUUAAGUGCCAAAUGCUACAGAUAUCUUUAUCCACACACCAUUUAUCUGUCAAGCAGCCUACUGUUCUAUUGCGAACGUCUUUGCGCAUUCCUUGUACCCACAGUAAUAUAUUAAUGUAUUAAUUUUAACAGACGCAAAUAAAGGCAUAUCACAUUCUAUUUUUUUCUCUCAUCUAACUCUUAAAUGAAAAACAGGUUCUUACGGAAGUUAAGAUCUUAGCCCCUUAAAAAUUUUUGCAAACCAGGUGGAGGUUUAUUUUUCCAUUAGAACAGGAUGUUAUUACGUGAACUUUAACUUCAUUAUAUUUAGUGGUUUGAUUGA